rnacentral:tRNA from 1 species
GUUAAUGUAGCUUAAUAGUUAAAGCAAGACACUGAAAAUGUCUAGACGGGUAAAUAACACCCCAUAAACA